rnacentral:rRNA from 1 species
ACUGAGCGGCGGACGGGUGAGUAACGCGUGGGUAACCUGCCUCAUACAGGGGGGUAACAGUUAGAAAUGACUGCUAAUACCGCAUAAGACCACAGUACCGCAUGGUACAGGGGUAAAAACUCCGGUGGUAUGAGAUGGACCCGCGUCUGAUUAGGUAGUCGGUGGGGUAACGGCCUACCAAGCCGACGAUCAGUAGCCGACCUGAGAGGGUGACCGGCCACAUUGGGACUGAGACACGGCCCAG